AUUGAACGCUGGCGGCAGGCCUAACACAUGCAAGUCGAACGAGUGGCGGACGGGUGAGUAAUGUCUGGGAAACUGCCCGAUGGAGGGGGAUCACUACUGGAAACGGUAGCUAAUACCGCAUACCAUCGGAUGUGCCCAGAUGGGCUUAGCUAGUCGGUGGGGUAACGGCUCACCUAGGCGACGAUCCCUAGCUGGUCUGAGAGGAUGACCAGCCACACUGGAACGGAGACACGGCCCAGACUCCUACGGGAGGCAGCAGUGGGGAAUAUUGCACAAGGGGCGCAAGCCGGAUGCAGCCAUGCGGCGUGUAUGAAGAAGGCCUUCGGGUUGUAAAGUACUUUCAGCGAGGAGGCGUUACCCGCAGAAGAAGCACCGGCUAACUCCGUGCCAGCAGACGCGGUAAUUC
rnacentral:rRNA from 1 species